rnacentral:snRNA from 1 species
AGCUGCGCGGUGUGCACAGAGCCAACUAUUCUUUUUCCUUUUACUAAAGAAUACCAUGUGCUCACUGCAUUCAGUGACAUACGCCAAUUAUUGACAAAAUGAUUGGUGCUUCAAGUU